rnacentral:rRNA from 1 species
UGGGGAAUUUUGGACAAUGGGCGAAAGCCUGAUCCAGCAAUGCCGCGUGUGUGAAGAAGGCCUUCGGGUUGUAAAGCACUUUUGUCCGGAAAGAAAUCCUUGGCUCUAAUACAGUCGGGGGAUGACGGUACCGGAAGAAUAAGCACCGGCUAACUACGUGCCAGCAGCCGCGGUAAUACGUAGGGUGCAAGCGUUAAUCGGAAUUACUGGGCGUAAAGCGUGCGCAGGGCGGUUUGCUAAGACCGAUGUGAAAUCCCCGGGCUCAACCUGGGAACUGCAUUGGUGACUGGCAGGCUAGAGUAUGGCAGAGGGGGGUAGAAUUCCACGUGUAGCAGUGAAAUGCGUAGAGAUGUGGAGGAAUACCGAUGGCGAAGGCAGCCCCCUGGGCCAAUACUGACGCUCAUGCACGAAAGCGUGGGGAGCAAACAGGAUUAGAUACCCUGGUAGUCCACGCCCUAAACGAUGUCAACUAGUUGUUGGGGAUUCAUUUCCUUAGUAACGUAGCUAACGCGUGAAGUUGACCGCCU